UGGGGAAUCUUGGACAAUGGGCGCAAGCCUGAUCCAGCAAUGCCGCGUGAGUGAAGAAGGCCUUAGGGUUGUAAAGCUCUUUUGCCAGGGACGAUAAUAACGGUACCUGGAGAAAAAGCCCCGGCACACUUCGUGCCAGCAGCCGCGGUAAUACGCAGGGGGCGAGCGUUUUUCGGAGUUACUUGGCGUAAAGCGCACGUAGGCGGGUCGUUAAGUCAGGGGUGAAAUCCCGGAGCUCAACUCCGGAACUGCCUUUGAUACUGGCGAACUUGAGGCUGGGAGAGGUUAGUGGAAUUCCCAGUGUAGGGGUGAAAUGCGUAGAUAUUGGGAAGAACACCAGUGGCGAAGGCGGCUAACUGGUCCAGAUCUGACACUGAGGUGCGAAAGCGUGGGGAGCA
rnacentral:rRNA from 1 species